rnacentral:rRNA from 1 species
CACGUAGGGCGCAAGCGUUGUCCGGAAUUAUUGGGCGUAAAGAGCUCGUAGGCGGUCUGUUGCGUCCGCUGUGAAAUCUCGGGGCUUAACCCCGAGCCUGCAGUGGAUACGGGCAGACUAGAGGUAGGUAGGGGAGAAUGGAAUUCCCGGUGUAGCGGUGAAAUGCGCAGAUAUCGGGAGGAACACCGGUGGCGAAGGCGGCAUCCUGGACCAAUACUGACGCUGAGGAGCGAAAGCCAGGGGAGCAAACGGG